UUGGGAGUUCUCUUGUGGUGCAGCAGGUUAAGGAUUUGGCAUUGUCACUACAGCCGCUCUCGUCGCUGCUGUGGCUUGGGUUCCAUCCCUGGUCCUGGAACUUCCACAUGCCCUGGGUGCAGCCAGAAGAUAUUUCUAUAUGAUCACACCAUAAAAUUUUGUGUAAGGACUCAUUACCCCAUUUUGUAAUUGAGGACACUGAACUUUGGAGAGAAAUUACCCUGUCCCCCCAAAUCACAUAGUAUUUGAACCUGAGUGACUCUGAGAGAGAGAGAGAGAGAUAGAGAGAGAGAGAGAGAGAGAGAGAGAGAGAGAGAGAAAUACCUUCUUUCUUCUUCUUGUAAGACCACAGUUCUGUUGGAGAAGGGCCCCAACCUUAUGCUCUCAUUUAACCUUCAAAAUACUCUCCACACACUGUGACAUUAGGGGGUCGGGGCUUCAUCAUAUGAAUUUGAUGUGUAAGGGGGUACAGUUCAGCCCAUGGCAGCCCUAGAAGACCAGCGACUGAUGAGGGAAAGAUCCAAACAGCUUGCAGAACUCCAGGUUAUUUUCCCCGUUUUCUCAAAGGCCAUAGACUCUAAGAAUAGCUAGAAAGGCCCUUCCCAAUAUUUACCUUCUCCAUAUGCCAAACAAGAGCCAGAAAAAUUCCGGCCUGCUGUUUUAUCGAGAAGAAAAUGGCACUGUGAUGCAGUAUGAAUUCAGGCUGCAGCCUAAGACAUGGUCAUGCCCACACUUUAAAAAAAAGUGUGUCCCCCUAUUUAUAUAUAAAAAGUCUGUGUUCUUGUCCCUUUCUCUCACUGCAGAGUAGAAAACAACGCAUGUCACAGCACUGAGAGCUAAAGAGUGAGGGUGCUGUGGGCUGGCAGAAAUCCCGCUUUCACUCAGGACGCCUCAAGCUCCAUACACCGUGGUUAAGGCGGAAUCGUGCGCUGAAUGUGACCAGAUGGCGCUGUUUUCCUUUUUCAGCAGGUGAAGAGAGAGCGGUAGACCUUCUGUUCAGCUGAAGCCCCCUUGGUCGCUUUGCCCACACCUGUGCACGCGGACCAGGGUGCGGCCUCUCUGCUCCAGGGAGGACGGUACACGUGACCCGGUGAGAGCGAGCCUGCAGUGUGGCCGGCGUCCCCAUUCAGAGAAGCUCCUGGGGCAGCGAGUCACUGGCGGCACUCUCUCAGCUGAGCACAUAGUGUGGGCCCCUGACUCCACGGCUUCCUGAAUUGGCAGAGCUGGUUUUUGACAGUGUGGACGGCAGCGGGGGUUGUCCCGGCCAGCCGCAGGCAGUGCAUCAGGACGAAGAAUCUCCCAGCCGUUCCCAAAGAGGAAGGAGUGCGUCCAUUGCAGCUACAAAGAAAUCAGUGGACUACUUUCAACUUGAACUUGGCAUACCGCAAGUACUCUUUUUAGAGAGUUACCUGUUUUCUGCUUCUAUCGUAUGUGAAACUCUUGUUCCUUUCAAUGUUUUAAAAGGCUGAAUUAGCGUAAAAGU